GCCCUCGUCACUCACUCCUCCCACUCACUCAUUCCCCUCCCUCUCGCUCGACUCGCUCGUUCCCCUUUUCUCGCCUCCGACGAAAUCCCUAGCUCGUCUCGCCUCCGACACUCACGUCGUCGCCGCUAGCUUGCCUAUCACCCGCGUCGUCGCUGCUCGCCUCCCUCUCCCCCGCGUCGUCCGGGCUGCCUUCACUGGUGCCGUCGCCUCUCACUCUUGCCCGCAUCGCCUGCACCAGCAAGGUCGCCACAAAGUUUGAUUUUUUACUGAAGGGGAGGCGAGAGCCUGUGGGAGGAGCUAUGCCGACGGCUGGGUCUGAAGCGGCUGGUCGUCUCACCGUGAGCACGAGGGGGAGGGGCGGGAGGAGCACGAGCGAGCGGCUGUUUUAGAUGAGGAGGAGCGGAGGCGGCAGUGACAUGGUGCAGGCGACGCUCCAUCUGCUGCUGAGUAUGACGAGUGGAGGAGGAGCAGGAGGACGUCGGCGCCGUCGGAACGUGGAGAACAAUCAAUUCACAGGAUCAAUCCCAGAGAAGAUGCUCACCAUCCCAAAAUUGGUGUAGAAGAAAGGACAACCACUUAACUAUUCAAUUUCUGCAGAAGAAAGGACAAUCAUUUAACCAUUCUGAUCCGCGGUUCCUCUCCGACCGACAGUGGUGAGCAGUUCAGAUCUGGAAGCACCAUACUGUGAUGUUGCUGUUGUGAUGUUCAGGGCGAGCAGCAAGGUGGACGCAGCGGGGAGCACCUGCGAGCAGCAAGGUGGGCGCAGCGGGGAUCACCUAGGCGAGUAGCAAGGGAGGGCUCCCUGGGUGCAGUGGCAAGGGAGGGCGCCCUGGCGCGGCAAGGGAGGGCCUGGGCGUGGCUGGGAGGGCCUAGGCGCGGAGAGGAUGGCCUGCGCGCGGCCUGGGGACCGAAGCUGGGCGGCGAGGACGAGCGCCUGGGCGCGGCCUGGGGACCGAAGCUGGACGGCGAGGACGAGCGCCUGGAUGCGGGGCUGAUGCGGGGACGUGAGGAAGAAGACGACUGGUUUGAAAUUCAAAUCAAGGGCAUAAUUGUCUAUUUGCACUUUUGUCGGCUGUGUGUGAAAAUCCCUCAACGUCUUAUAAUUCUUUCCAGAGGGAGUACUUAACUAAGUCUUAGUCGAUUCUAUAUUCGUGAGAUCUUACGUGGAGAUCUGUGCAAUUUUUUACA